rnacentral:rRNA from 1 species
AUUGAACGCUGGCGGCAGGCCUAACACAUGCAAGUCGAGCGAGCGGCGGACGGGUGAGUAAUGCCUGGGAAUUGCCCAGUCGAGGGGGAUAACAGUUGGAAACGACUGCUAAUACAGCAUACGAUUGGAUUGCCCAGGUGGGAUAAGCUAGUUGGUGAGGUAAUGGCUCACAAAGGCAACGGUCCCUAGCUGGUCUGGGCGGAUGAUCAGCCACACUGGAACUGGAACACGGUCCAUGCUCCUACGGGGGGAAGCAGUGGUGAGUAUUGCACAAUGGGGGAAACCCUGCUGCAGCUAUGCCGCGGGUUUAAAGAGGGCCUUCGGUUUUUAAAGCACUUUCAGCGAGGAGGCGUUACUCGCAGAAGAAGCACCGGCUAACUCCGUGCCAGCCGCCGCGGUAAUAC